rnacentral:lncRNA from 1 species
GACAACACAUACAAUUUCGUCAUCUGUAAUUGGGGCAUUGAGGAUUGAAAUAGCUUCCGAAUCAAGUUUUCUAGUCGGCUCCACAUGAAUGUUAUUAGGUUUCCCAGCUUGAUUGACUAAGGAAUAAAAAAAUUACUCUGUGUGUGCUUUAACCUCAUCUAAAUUCUCAAUAAGAUUAUCAUCUUUGUCUCUGCAUUUGCUGAUACGGUUAACAGCCCUUCGAGUAGCAAUUGAAGCAUAGAAAAAUUUAGCAUUGGAAUCCCCUAGUGUAAGCCAAUGCUGUCGAGACUUCUGCUUUGCAAAACUUUCCUCCUGUUUUAAGGCUUGCAUGAAGUUAUUUCUAGCUUCUGUCUCUUUGUAGAUAAUAUUCUCAUCAUUUGGCUGAAGUUGCAGCUCAUGUUGCAAUGACAUUAGUUCCUU